CAGUCGCCACGGGAAUACAGAGGGUGCGAGCGUUAAUCGGAUUUACUGGGCGUAAAGCGUGUGUAGGUUGUUGUUCAAGUCAGUUGUGAAAUCCCUGGGCUCAACCUGGGAACUGCUUCUGAGACUGAACGACUAGAGUACGGUAGAGGGUGGUGGAAUUUCCGGUGUAGCGGUGAAAUGCGUAGAUAUCGGAAGGAACAUCAAUGGCGAAGGCAGCCACCUGGGCCUGUACUGACACUGAGACACGAAAGCGUGGGGAUCAAACAGGAUUAGAUACCCCUGUAGUCCCUGUCUCUUAUAC
rnacentral:rRNA from 1 species